rnacentral:tRNA from 1 species
GGGGAUUUAGCUCAGUGGUAGAGUGUUUGCCCAGCAAGCACAAGGCCCUGGGUUCGGUCCCCAGCUCCA